GUCUGGAGCACAGGGAUUGUGGGUGCAGGCCAGCUAGCUCAGGCAGCAAACGGCUUUGGAAAAUGGAGUUGUCUGGCACCCAAUCCCUGAUUGUCUAGACUGGAAAAUGGAACAAAAAUAUAAUUUACUAAGCACCUGCUACAUGUCAGAGCUGGACAUUUGAUUACUUUGGACAAUGGAACAGCUGCAAAUCUGAUGCAAGCAGAGAAUUAAACUAGCCCUUGCACAAUCCAGCUUCCUUUCUUAAACCGUUGUCACUGCCAUGAAAAUGUUCCCAGGUUAAUGUAUGGAGUAAUGUGAUUAUCAUGUGAAGGGGGACUGAGUUACAUAGCAAAGGUCAUCUAAGGUCAUCUAAGACCAGGUAGCCUCUAGCCUACCGCUAGGUGACUGAACACACUUGAGUGAGCCCAGUUGAAACCAGCCGAACCAACUCCAAAUCAGCAAAAUCACCUACCUGAUCCAUAGAUUCAUGAUAAAUUAAAAUUGAUUGUUAUUUAAAACAA